GAUGAACGCUGGCGGCGUGCCUAAUACAUGCAAGUCGAGCGAACAGACGAGGAGCUUGCUCCUCUGACGUUAGCGGCGGACGGGUGAGUAACACGUGGAUAACCUACCUAUAAGACUGGGAUAACUUCGGGAAACCGGAGCUAAUACCGGAUAAUAUAUUGAACCGCAUGGUUCAAUAGUGAAAGACGGUUUUGCUGUCACUUAUAGAUGGAUCCGCGCCGCAUUAGCUAGUUGGUAAGGUAACGGCUUACCAAGGCAACGAUGCGUAGCCGACCUGAGAGGGUGAUCGGCCACACUGGAACUGAGACACGGUCCAGACUCCUACGGGAGGCAGCAGUAGGGAAUCUUCCGCAAUGGGCGAAAGCUUGACGGAGCAACGCCGCGUGAGUGAUGAAGGUCUUCGGAUCGUAAAGCUCUGUUAUUAGGGAAGAACAAAUGUGUAAGUAACUAUGCACGUCUUGACGGUACCUAAUCAGAAAGCCACGGCUAACUACGUG
rnacentral:rRNA from 1 species